UACCGGCGUAUGGGGAGUUAUGUGAUAUGAUGUGCAGGUCGCACGUGGCGUAGGUUAUCCGGCGUGUCGACAGACCCCAUACGUGGCGUUGGUUGUACCGGCGUAUGGGGAACUUUGUGAUAUAAUAUUGAGGUCCCACGUGGCGUAGGUUAUCCGGCGUUGGGACAGGCCUCAUACGUGGCGUUGGUUGUACCGGCGUAUGGGGAGUUAUGUGAUAUGAUGUGCAGGUCUCACGUGACGUAGGUUAUCCGGCGUUGAGACAGACCCCAUACGUGGCGUUGGUUGUACCGGCGUAUGGGGAGAUUAUAUGAAAUGAAAUAAGGUAUCGCCCAAGUGGGGAAUUGAGUUUUAGGGAAGAACUACGUGUGGCUUGAUCCCUCAAGGAGGGUACGUAGGCAGCCUAAGGUUAGGUGCAGCCGCAGACUAAAUGUUAGUCAUAUUUGGUAUUUGAAUGGUUUGGUAGUUGGAUAGGAAUUAUUGAAAGGCCGAAGGCCAUUUGUGUGAAUUGCAUGAAAUUAUAUUGUGCAUGCUGCCAGUUGGGAAUAUUAAAUGUGUUUUUAUGCAGGUUGAAAUUUUGGGAUAUGUCCAAUUUAUAGGGGAGACUCUGCCGAAAUUUCGGCAGGAAGUCUCAGUUUUUAGUAAGCGGGCCUGACAUCGGGGUGAUGUCAGGAAUUCCAAAGGGUUCGUCUCGGGUUUUUGAGAAAAUUCGGGGCGGGUCCUUAAACUACGAGUGGCUUGAUUCCCACAAGGGAUACGUAGGCAUCCUGAGGUUGGACUUGGGAGCAGCUGCAAAAUCAAACACACACGUUCUGUUUCUUUAUGAUGGAAUCAAAGGGUUUUCCCUUGAAGCAAGGGAUUGUAAUUAAGAGACUUACGUCUCGAAUGGGUCGAACCUAAAAUAAUAAAACCCCAUUAUUUAAUUAGUGGUGGUGAAAUUAUAUUAGGAAGAUCACAAUUUUCCUUCAACAUAGCUCAUCCCCACAUUUAAAUUAAAGCCCACUGUAUUUUCUUCAAUAAUUUGUUUAUCAUUGUUUUUAUUACUUUUAUGCGAUUCUUGUACUAACCAUAUUCUUCCAUAAUUUAUUUCUCAUUGUUCCAAUCGUUGAUAUUACAAUUUACAAUUAAUAAACUAAAGUACAUUUUUAAAAUGAAGUUUUCGAAAGAAGUACCAAAUUUGAAUCUUCCCCUUUUACUCAUCACAAGAAAAAAAAAUAUCCCUAAAAUGUUAGAAAUUAUAAGCCUUUAUAUUUUCUCUCAAAAUAGCAGCAAGUUAAAUUUAGAGGGGCAAACGUGCCUGAUAUAAGUAUUUUAACAACCCUCUAUAGGUAUGGCUACAUAAAACAAGGUAACGAGAUUAUCUUUGUUCUUUUACCAGAGGGGCAGACGUGCAUGAUAUGUAUGUAGUCUUUCAAGGAACAUUCUGGCUUUGAAGUUAUCUCCUAUUCUUAGCUAGGCAGCCCAAAUCUCUAGGCAUAUGCACAUCGCAUCAUGGGGAUCAUUGUAUUUUGCUUUAGCAAAUCUAGUUGUUUCACCCCAAAAAAAAAUAUCCAGUUGUUUCCAGGUUGAUUUCAAUUCAACGUUAAAGGUAAGAGGAAAAAAAAAAUUCUUGAAAAUAGUUGUAGGUUUUUUUAUUUUAUUUUUAUAAAUAUAAAACACCAAACUCAGUGAUAAAACUAAACUAAAAAUAAAAAGAAUAAAAUUUAAACACUCUGAAUGAGAUGAGAUUAGCAG
rnacentral:lncRNA from 1 species